GACGAACGCUGGCGGCGCGCUUAACACAUGCAAGUCGAACGGAAAGGCCCUGCUUUUGUGGGGUGCUCGAGUGGCGAACGGGUGAGUAACACGUGAGUAACCUGCCCUUGACUUUGGGAUAACUUCAGGAAACUGGGGCUAAUACCGGAUAGGAGCUCCUGCUGCAUGGUGGGGGUUGGAAAGUUUCGGCGGUUGGGGAUGGACUCGCGGCUUAUCAGCUUGUUGGUGGGGUAGUGGCUUACCAAGGCUUUGACGGGUAGCCGGCCUGAGAGGGUGACCGGCCCCAUUGGGACUGAGAUCCGGCCCAGACUCCUACGGGAGGCAGCAGUGGGGAAUAUUGCACAAUGGGCGGAAGCCUGAUGCAGCAACGCCGCGUGCGGGAUGACGGCCUUCGGGUUGUAAACCGCUUUCGCCUGUGACGAAGCGUGAGUGACGGUAAUGGGUAAAGAAGCACCGGCUAACUACGUG
rnacentral:rRNA from 1 species